rnacentral:tRNA from 1 species
AAUAGAAGAUAAAAAGUUUUAAAUUGAUUUGCAAUCAAUUAAUAUGUUAGACAUACUUGAAUA